CAAAGCAGACAUAUUGCUAAAUGAGUUGAUAACUAGGAAAAAUAAAACUACUGUCUUUUUUAUAAAUUUAAGCAGAAGUCUGAGUGUGAAGUGACCGACCGGAUCCACGGACCUGUGCUCCAGGAGUUUUAACAACUUUUGGCAGUGUGUUGGCUAGGUUUUUGAGAUUCCCUGGAGAGAAGCCCUAGAUUUGGAGGUGGAUUCAGAUUCUCCUUGAUGAAGGAGAUGGUGAGCCAAUUGUGAAACUGAGCAUCUCCUCAUCUGAGGAGCUGGAGUGACAUCACCUUUGCCCCAAGGAGGAAACCCCCUUCCCAUCCUUUCCCCUUUCAUCUCCGUGACAGGAGAAUUUAGCGGAGCUUCCCGAGCCUCUGACGCAGAUGACAAGGAUUUCGGAGGAUCACAGCCCCGAGGGAGAGGACGAUGAGCGAGAUGUCGGGGGAGAGGAGGUAGAGGAGGCAGAGGCAGAGGCAGAGCACGGGGAUGAGGUCGUGGAGCAGGCAGAGGGAGACUAGGAGUGUGGCCUGAUGAACAAGAAAGAGUGGAAGCUCUCCAGCAGCAGAGAAGGAUGGUUCGUGAGAGAAAGUAGCCCCACCCUCUUCUCGCGAGAGUUACAGUGCGGAGGGAGAAUGCGGAGUAGUGCGGCGUGGAGUCAGAGCUACAGAGUCAGAGCAGCGAUACGAGCAGAGGGAAAUCACGGAAGAGGAAGUCAAUAAGAAGUCACGAAAACAGCGGUUGUUAACUCACUUAUCAACACAGGAUAACCCGUGAAAGUGUACCUACCUGCAGCAGAGAGGUGGUCGAGGAUCUGUGGGUUAUUAUUUUCGGCAGAGACUUGGCUAGGUUUUUGAGACCCUAUAGAACCCUUUAGAGGUGGAUCUGGAUUCUCCUGGUUGAGGGAGAUGGCGAGCCAGUGAAGAUUUUCCUUGCCAACGGAGUAGGGAACCAGCACCUGAGCCGGAAGAGGACAUCCAACCCCUUCUUCACCUUAACUGGUAGUGUCCGUGGUAGGACCACUACACACACACCUGACGUGUGACCCCUGACUCUUUGAACUUUCCCUUGACUUGACAUACCCACAAAGCGCACUGACUAACAACGACAAAACAUUUAAGGAACAAUUAAAGGAACAUUCAAGGAACCAUUAAAGGAAUGUUACUGUUCCAAUGGGACACUUUUAUUUGGUUUUGUACUGAAAAAGAAAAACUGUGAACCACUGAGUGAUGAGAUGCCAUUGCACUUUGUUUAUUCCAUUUUAUUUUAUUUUCCAUACUGUUAAUAUAGUUGACUGCUUCCAACAUACCGUGUGGCUCCAUUUAGUUAUUGUGUCUGUCAAUUCCUCUUUAAACCCUCCUCCAUGAACCUAGUCUCUGGUCCAAACUCUGAAGUAACUGGCGGGUUACAGGUGCAUACAGAGGUUGGUUUAGGCUUAUGAACUGUAUUGUAGCGCUUUCAGAUUAUUUUAUAAUGUAAAGUGCAUUACAAAUAAAAUGUAUUAUUAUUAUUCUAACAUAUAGUGUAAUUGUUUUACAUUUCUCAUUUAUUUCUGAAGAACAUGUAUUGAAACUGUUUGCAAUUAUACAGCUACUUAUGAGGACACUGAAUGCACAUUAUGAUGGGGAUUUAUGUUGUCCCCACCCAUGUUUUCUGUUCCCAUAACAACUUCUUCAAGAGAUGGACCUAGAGGAGUGGAGAGUCUUGGGCAGGGAGCUGUUUGCAAGGGAGCCAGGCUUAGUUUUUGAUGCUCUGAUGAUGCGUCAACGUCGAAAUGGUGCUCCACCGCCUGCUGGCCUACCUGACGUACUAUGG